AACACAUGCAAGUCGAGCGCACCUUCGGGUGAGCGGCGGACGGGUGAGUAACGCGUGGGAACGUGCCCUUCUCUGCGGAAUAGCCUCUGGAAACGGAGAGUAAUACCGCAUACGCCCUUCGGGGGAAAGAUUUAUCGGAGAAGGAUCGGCCCGCGUUGGAUUAGGUAGUUGGUGGGGUAAUGGCCUACCAAGCCGACGAUCCAUAGCUGGUUUGAGAGGAUGAUCAGCCACACUGGGACUGAGACACGGCCCAGACUCCUACGGGAGGCAGCAGUGGGGAAUCUUAGACAAUGGGGGAAACCCUGAUCUAGCCAUGCCGCGUGAGUGACGAAGGCCCUAGGGUCGUAAAGCUCUUUCGCCAGGGAUGAUAAUGACAGUACCUGGUAAAGAAACCCCGGCUAACUCCGUGCCAGCAGCCGCGGUAAUACGGAGGGGGUUAGCGUGGUUCGGAAUUACUGGGCGUAAAGCGCGCGUAGGCGGACUAUUAAGUCAGGGGUGAAAUCCCGG
rnacentral:rRNA from 1 species